CUGAAUAGACUAUCUGCCCUACUACCGGAGUACUGUCUAAAAGGAAAGGCAGAAAAUACCAGAAAGAAAUAUAAUUUGAUGAAUGUAUAUGGAUGGAGGUAUAAGGGUACAUGAUGGUACAUGAGAAUACAUGAUGGUACAUGAGGGUACAUGAGGAUUGAUAAUGUAUAUUAUAAUGUGUGAAUAAAUCUGAGUGCUUCGCCUCCUAUCCUAUAAAUAA